UCCCGGAGGGGGCGGCGACCUCUUGCCGCGGGUACCGGUUCAGGCCCGGAAGGGAGCAGACUUACCGUGGACGUUCGGCGCCCAUGGGGUUGCGGGGUGGA
rnacentral:misc_RNA from 1 species